GAUGAACGCUGGCGGCGUGCCUAAUACAUGCAAGUCGAACGCAUUGUGGUUGAAAUGAUAUGAAGAACUUGUUCAGAUUUGAUUUUCAACAUUGCAAUGAGUGGCGAACGGGUGAGUAACACGUGGGAAACCUACCUCUUAGCAGGGGAUAACAUUUGGAAACAAAUGCUAAUACCGUAUAAUAAUUAAAACCGCAUGGUUUUAGUUUAAAAGAUGGUCUUGCUAUCACUAAGAGAUGGUCCCGCGGUGUAUUAGUUAGUUGGUGAGGUAAUGGCUCACCAAGACAAUGAUACAUAGCCGAGUUGAGAGACUGACCGGCCACAAUGGGACUGAGACACGGCCCAUACUCCUACGGGAGCAGCAGUAGGAAUCUUCCACAAUGGACGAAAGUCUGAUGGAGCAACGCCGCGUGUGUGAUGAAGGGUUUCGGCUCGUAAAACACUGUUGUAAGAGAAGAAUGACAUUGAGAGUAACUGUUCAAUGUGUGAC
rnacentral:rRNA from 1 species